GUCGCAAGACCAAAGAGGGGGACCUUCGGGCCUCUUGCCAUCGGAUGUGCCCAGAUGGGAUUAGCUAGUAGGUGGGGUAACGGCUCACCUAGGCGACGAUCCCUAGCUGGUCUGAGAGGAUGACCAGCCACACUGGAACUGAGACACGGUCCAGACUCCUACGGGAGGCAGCAGUGGGGAAUAUUGCACAAUGGGCGCAAGCCUGAUGCAGCCAUGCCGCGUGUAUGAAGAAGGCCUUCGGGUUGUAAAGUACUUUCAGCGAGGAGGAAGGUGUUGUGGUUAAUAACCGCAGCAAUUGACGUUACUCGCAGAAGAAGCACCGGCUAACUCCGUGCCAGCAGCCGCGGUAAUACGGAGGGUGCAAGCGUUAAUCGGAAUUACUGGGCGUAAAGCGCACGCAGGCGGUCUGUCAAGUCGGAUGUGAAAUCCCCGGGCUCAACCUGGGAACU
rnacentral:rRNA from 1 species